rnacentral:rRNA from 1 species
GGGUGCAGCAGGCGCGAAACCUUUACACUGCACGACAGUGCGAUAGGGGGAUCCCAAGUGCACAGGCAUAGCGCCUGUGCUUUUCGGUACCCUAAGGCGGUACCAGAAUAAGGGCUGGGCAAGACCGGUGCCAGCCGCCGCGGUAAUACCGGCAGCCCAAGUGAUGGCCGAUCUUAUUGGGCCUAAAGCGUCCGUAGCUGGCCACGCAAGUCCAUCGGGAAAUCCACCUGCCCAACAGGUGGGCGCCCGGUAGAAACUGCGUGGCUUGGGACCGGAAGGCGCGACGGGUACGUCCGGGGUAGGAGUGAAAUCCCGUAAUCCUGGACGGACCGCCGAUGGCGAAAGCACGUCGCGAGAACGGAUCCGACAGUGAGGGACGAAAGCCAGGGUCUCGAACCGGAUUAGAUACCCGGGUAGUCCUGGCCGUAAACAAUGCCUGCUAGGUGUGGCUCCCACUACGAGUGGGUGCUGUGCCGUAGGGAAGCCGCUAAGCAGGCC